UUAAUUAAUUUUGCUAAUCGCUCAGACCACAAUCUUCAGACAGCGUUCAAUGGUGCCGUCGGCGGGCGCGGGGCCUGGGGCGGAUACCCCAGGCGGCCAGGUGGCCGGCUCGCCGAAGCAACAAGGUACGGUAGACACGGGUGGGAGUCGGUGCCCGGGGGCACCAUACUCAGUAAUGAUCCUUCCGCAGGUUCACCUACGGAAA
rnacentral:misc_RNA from 1 species